AUGUACCCCCGUACACUCCGGCUCCUCCGCGCCGGCCGCACCCACCUGACGGCUGCUCGCGACGUUUUGUUAGCC
rnacentral:sRNA from 1 species